AUGGAGGGAGAACCAAACGUUGUUCUGUCUACUCUGCACAAUUUUCUUAUUCACUCUGCAGAUACUGCUUACCUGACCUGUGUUCAUUCAGAGAAGACUCUUGAUAGUAAAAAAGUCUCAUAUGAAGAAGAAUGUUCAAGAAGUGCCCUGGCCUCUCUGGACUCUGCUUUUCCAGUAGAGGAAGCUGAAAGAGGACUGUCAAGUUCUUGCAGUUCUAAAACCAUGGCCCAUGUAAGUUCAUGUUUCUCAUCCUUGAAUAUUAUUUUUGAAUUCAUGUGAUCAUUUUAUUACC
rnacentral:lncRNA from 1 species